GGCCGGUUGGUCUAGUGGCAAGAUGUCCGCACCACAUGUUGUAUAGUAGUGUAUAGGAUGUGUGCGCGGAAGACGAGGGUUCAAUUCCCUCACCGGCUA
rfam:Coniosporium apollinis CBS 100218 chromosome Tnknown supercont1.23, whole genome shotgun sequence.